GCUACAAGAUAACAUGUUAACGUGAACAUUACUAGUCUCAUAUUAGCUAUACAAUGCUUAACAGUUUAUUACAUGCUGUGUACGUAUUAGUUUAUUAAUUAGAGUAAUUAUAAAGUAUAAACAAUUUUCAUAGUAGCCUAAAGAAUGGAACAUUAAUGACACCUAUUAAUUAAACACAUAUUUAAAAUCAAGUUACCAUACCGUGGUUCUGAGUAGUGGUUCUUCAUAAAUUCACAGUAUGCCCACCUCUUCGGACACUACUACAUCACUGUUUCCUCUUACUCAUCAUUUGAAAAGCGAUACAUUUUAAUGCUUUUAUUAGAGACCCACCUACAUUUACACACUUAUUCCAAUAUGAUUAAUUUCUGCUCUAGCUCACCUGAUAGAGUGUUGGACUUUGGACUUGAAGAUCGAGGCUCAAGCCCAGCCCAUGUUGCUCGAAACAAAUGUGAAAGUGAAGCGAAAGUGCUAUAGAAGUGACAUGAAAUGACGUGGUUGCUUCAGUUGAUGUGCUUUUCAUGUCAGAUUUGCUUUCAAAAUGCUAUCGGUUAGGUUUAGGCAUUGGUUAAGGGUAAGGAUGUCAGUUUUGUUCACCUCUCAUUUAUCUUUUUGAAUACCAUUGGUUAGGUUCAGGCUACAUGUUUAGGUUAGGGGGGUACGUUUUACUCACUUGCUUUUGCUGCCUCCCACUGGAUAUUUCACUGGGAAGCUGCAGCCAAACGUGUAAUGAGGCACGUAAAUUUGGUUUGUAAAAAUGUUGCCAUUGUCCCGUAAAUUUCAUGAGAUCAGGCUGAAAUGACAUGUUUGGAAUGCCAAGAAUACAAGUGGAGUGAUACAAACAGUAAAGCAUCCCAGGUCUGAUGGUGUGAGCUAUCAACACUCUUGGAACACCUCUCAUCGAUUCAGAUUUGAGGAACCGAACUAACUGUUGUGUAUCAGUAUAUAUCACAAUACGAGUUCUAUAUUAAUAAGUUGCAGUGUUGCUUGGCAACCCUAAACAACUCUCAGCGAUACCACGCCUGCACACCUAAAAAAUUGCUUUCAUUGUAAUCAGUGAAGCUGUAUGCACUGGAAGUAAUUUUCUGUGACAGUUUGAUGUGUAGGAUAUAGUUAUCUGCUUCUGCUUGUGCUAUGGAUGUACCCCAGUAUAAACUUUUAGCUGAAUCUCUAUAGAAUGAUACAUUUUUACCGUGCCACGUCACACCGGCCAGCAUCUAAUAGACAUACUUAUGGCUACAUGUGUCUAGUUUAAAUCUUCCAGUCCAUAAUAUCUUGUUUUGUAGUCAUUGUACAAUGGUUAACUCCAGGGUUAUCAUAGAUAGAUCUUGCUUAUUAAACUUUUUCUCAGAUACAGGCCUAAAAACUGCACCGAGGCCAAAGUUUGCAAACUUUUACAAUUUUAUUUCUGUCCAGAAACGUGUCACCUGGCUCUUAGGUAUUGUAUCUGGCUCAUGACGCAAUCCAUAUGAAAGAGUAAGAAAAUGUAUAAAGCAAUCAAUGAAAAGCAGCUGUGCAGUUAUUCAGCGGUCUCGGAGGAAGUGUCAAGGUUGUACGGUAUGCUCCCCAGACUCCUGGACUACAUAUCAUCAUUCUAAACAGCCUGCGUAAAUACAGUGAAGUGUCUCUUUACAAGCUCUGCAUUACUUAUGGGUCUGCUAUGUGUUACUGUGUUCUUUUAUACUGCUGUACCGCCCCAUUUAUGAAUCUACUUUACAAGUUUUAGAGCGAAAACUAAAGUUUUACUGCUUUGAAUAGAGAUGUUUCACACUUUGGAGACUGGCAUAAGCUCAUUUUUAGGCUUUAUAGAAAUGCUCCCAAGCUGAUAGUGGAAAAGCAGCUUAUGUGGACCAUAGACAGAAAGGCAGUUUACUAGUAGCAAUGUAAAGUUUGUUUAAAUUUGGCCAAUUUUUAUUCGUUUUUUCCCCCUUAGUGUGAAAAGCCUUAAAUUUGCUAUGGAUAAAUUCUCCUCAUUUGGAGAAAGUUAUGAAAGACAGCACUAUGUAUCUUAAGUGUAGAUGUACAGUUUGAUGUUAACAAUCUCAUACUAACAUACUCAAGUCUUGAAGCAAAACUAGUCUGACAUGCCCUUUUGGUAACUUAAUAGCCAAAUUGUGAUGUUCAUGAUAUUGUUUAUAUUUUGGUAUUGGUUUUUUUAUAUUGGUUUUGAUACAACAAACACAUAAAGAUAUAUGUUGGGCUGAGUUAAAAUACUUUGACAGUGGGAAUGAGUUCUUAGUGAUUAAAAUACAGUCAUCUGAAGAAAAACUAAGCCUUUUUUAAACUAGUUCAAUCACCGACACAUUAGGGGUUUUCAUAGAGUUUUUAAACAAAUAAUCAAUGCUGAAUCCGCGACCCAGCCCGCGCUUCUCUCAGCACUGUUUAUGGGUGUGCGCCAUUCUGCAGUGAUCAUCUUUAUACCCUAUUCCCAUCGAACAUUUUACCGUCCACUGUGUGAGCUUUGAAAGGCUAAAAGGUGUAGUGCUAAAAAGUAAGUGUCAUUCAGGACUCCCUUUGUAAGGAAUUUUUAAUGGAAAUUCUGUUUGAAGUGAUCUUACAGCAUGACUAUCAUGAUUGUUCCCCCUUGAAUGUGCCCUUCGGAGGGUGAGUUAUGCCGUUUGGAAUUACAAUAAUAGACAGAUAAAACAGAGGUAAGAAAGAAAGAAAAAUAUAGAGUGAGAAUAAUAGAUAAAUUAGAGGGAAAAAAGAAAGAGAAAUAAAGAAAAAAAUAGUGUGAAUAAUAGAUAAAAUAAAGAAAAGAAAGAAUGAAAGAAAAAUAGAGAGAUAAUAAUAGAUAAAAUAGAGGAAAGAAAGAAAGAAAAAUAGAGAGAGAAUAAUGGAUAGAUAAAAUAAAGGUAUGAAAGAAAGAAAAAGAAAAAUAUAUAUAUAGAGAGAGAAUAAUAGAUAGAUUUAACAGAGGUAAGAAAGAAAGAAAAAUAUAGAGUGAGAAUAAUAGAUAAAUUAGAGGAAAAAAGAAAGAGAAAUAAAGAAAAAAUAGUGUGAAUAAUAGAUAAAAUAAAGAAAAGAAAGAAUAAAAGAAAAAUAGAGAGAUAAUAAUAGAAAUAUAAAAUAAAUGUAAGAAAGAAAGAAAAAGAAAAAAUAUAUAGAGAGAAUAAUAGAUAGGUAAAAUAGAGGUAAGAAAAAAAAUAGAGAGAGAGAAUAAUGGAUAGAUACAGUAGAGGAAAUAAAGAAGAAUAGAGGUAAGAAAGGAAGAAAAAUAGAGAGAGAGAAUAAUGGAUAGAUAAUAUAGAGGAAAGAAAGAAAGAAAAAUAGAGAGAGAAUAAUGGAUAGAUAAAAUAAAGGUAAGAAAGAAAGAAAAAGAAAAAAAUAUAUAUAGAGAGAAUAAUAGAUAGAUUUAACAGAGGUAAGAAAGAAAGAAAAAUAGAGAGAGAGAAUAAUGGAUAGAUACAAUAGAGGAGAUAAAGAAAAAUAGAGAGAUAAUAAUAGAUAGAUAAAAUAGAGGUAAGAAAGAAAGAAAACGAGAGAGAGGGAGAAUAAUAGAUAGGUAAAAUAGAGGUAAGAAAGAAAAAUAGGGAGAGAGAAUAAUAGAUAGGUAAGAAAGAAAGAAAAAUAGAGAAUAAUGGAUAGAUAAAAUAGGGGAAAGAAAAAUAGAGAGAGAAUAAUGGAUAGAUACAAUAGACGAAAUAAAUAUAAAUAGAGAGAUAAUAAUAGAUACAAUAGAGGUAAGAAAGAAAGAAAAACAGAGAGAGAAUAAUGGAUAGAUACAGUAGAGGAAAGAAAAAUAGAGAGAAUAAUAGGUAAAAUAGAGGAAAGAAAGAAAGAAAAAUAGAGAGAGAGAGAAUAACAGAGCGUUAACAGAGGUAAGAAAGAAAAAUAGAGAGAGAAUAAUAGAUAGGUAAAAUAGAGAGAAUAAUGGAUAGGUAAAAUAGAGGUAAGAGAAAAAUAGAGAGAGAGAAUAAUGGAUAGAUAAAAUAGAAGAGAGAAAAAAGAGAAUGAAAGACAGAAAGACAAAUAUGUAGAGAGAGAACAAUAUUGUAUUAGUGAAAAUGCAAGUACAUGUAUCAACUAGUUGAAAUCAAGAAUGGGUAUUUCUGCAGGUAAUGACGUCAGUUUUUACUAAUGCAAAUGACUUAAAUUACUGAUAUCAAGAAUUAGCAUUUUAAGUAGUGAAAAUUGAAUUGUGGAUUGUAACAGCUCACAGACAGAAGGGAAGGAGAACACAGGGAAGCAGGUUUUUCCAGGCUCAGGUAGGACUUUCAAUCGGCCACUUCAAUGCUUCACAAACUCAUUAGCUUCACAGGCAUGUAGUAACUUAAACACAUCAGCUUCACAAACAUAACAGAUUAAACGUAGCAGCUUCAGGAGCACCGUGGCCUUCCUUGUGCCAGUCUCUCUCUCUCUCUCUCUCUCUCUGCUGGUGGCGUGGCAUGGCUGCUUAUAUGCCACUCUUCCCAUGUUCACUGGAAUUAGAAAUAGGUGUUAAACAUAAUCUAGCUCAGGUGCAAGUGCCCUUACCGCUUUCUCUCUCUCCGGAAAAAAAAAAAAACA